rnacentral:rRNA from 1 species
UCUCCUGGAAAACGGGUGGUAAUGCCGGAUGCUCCGGUUGGAUGCAUGUCCUUCCGGGAAAGAUUCCAUCGGUAUGGGAUGGGGUCGCGUCCUAUCAGCUUGAUGGCGGGGUAACGGCCCACCAUGGCUUCGACGGGUAGCCGGCCUGAGAGGGCGACCGGCCACAUUGGGACUGAGAUACGGCCCAGACUCCUACGGGAGGCAGCAGUGGGGAAUAUUGCACAAUGGGCGCAAGCCUGAUGCAGCGACGCCGCGUGCGGGAUGGAGGCCUUCGGGUUGUAAACCGCUUUUGAUCGGGAGCAAGCCCUUCGGGGUGAGUGUACCCUUCGAAUAAGCACCGGCUAACUACGUGCCAGCAGCCGCGGUAAUACGUAGGGUGCAAGCGUUAUCCGGAAUUAUUGGGCGUAAAGGGCUCGUAGGCGGUUCGUCGCGUCCGGUGUGAAAGCCCAUCGCUUAACGGUGGGUCUGCGCCGGGUACGGGCGGGCUGGAGUGCGGUAGGGGAGACUGGAAUUCCCGGUGUAACGGUGGAAUGUGUAGAUAUC